CAUGCAAGUCGGACGAGAAAUCUUGAGCAAUCGAGAGAGUACAGUGGCGCACGGGUGAGUAACGCGUGGGUAACCUACCCUUGAAUUGGGGAUAACUCCGCGAAAGCGGGGCUAAUACCGAAUAAUAUUCCAGUUCCCUCGGGAGUUGGAAUCAAAGGUGGCCUCUGCAUGCAAGCUACUGUUUAAGGAUGGGCCCGCGUACCAUUAGCUAGUUGGUAGGGUAACAGCCUACCAAGGCGACGAUGGUUAGCUGGUCUGAGAGGAUGGCCAGCCACACUGGAACUGAGACACGGUCCAGACUCCUACGGGAGGCAGCAGUGGGGAAUCUUGCGCAAUGGGGGAAACCCUGACGCAGCAACGCCGCGUGGGUGAUGAAGGCCUUCGGGUCGUAAAGCCCUGUCAGGUGGGAAGAAUCUUAUCGGUGCUAAUAUCGCCGAUGAU
rnacentral:rRNA from 1 species